rnacentral:rRNA from 1 species
GAUGAACGCUGGCGGCGUGCCUAAUACAUGCAAGUCGAGCGAACAGAUGAGGAGCUUGCUCCUCUGACGUUAGCGGCGGACGGGUGGGUAACACGUGGAUAACCUACCUAUAAGACUGGGAUAACUUCGGGAAACCGGAGCUAAUACCGGAUAAUAUAUUGAACCGCAUGGUUCAAUAGUGAAAGACGGUUUUGCUGUCACUUAUCGAUGGAUCCGCGCCGCAUUAGCUAGUUGGUAAGGUAACGGCUUACCAAGGCAACGAUGCGUAGCCGACCUGAGAGGGUGAUCGGCCACACUGGAACUGAGGCACGGUCCAGACUCCUACGGGAGGCAGCAGUAGGGAAUCUUCCGCAAUGGGCGAAAGCCUGACGGAGCAACGCCGCGUGAGUGAUGAAGGUCUUCGGAUCGUAAAACUCUGUUAUUAGGGAAGAACAAAUGUGUAAGUAACUAUGCACGUCUUGACGGUACCUAAUCAGAAAGCCACGGCUAACUACGUG